AAAUCUCCGAGCGCCGUCCCCGAUUCCCACUUCCCCUUCCUCCCACCAAUCUCCCGUUCUCCUCCGGCGCCACUACCGCCGCCGACCUUGAGAAGAUCGAAGUGAUCGGCCACGGGAACGGCGGCACCGUCUACAAGGUCCAGCACAAGCGCACUGCAGCGAACUACGCGCUCAAGGUGGUCCACGGCGACUGCGACCCCACCGUCCGCCGUCAGGUGUUGCGGGAGAUGGAGAUCCUCCGAUUUACGGACUCGCCGUUUGUGGUCCAGUGUCACGGCAUCU
rnacentral:lncRNA from 1 species